UACAGAGGGUGCAAGCGUUAAUCGGAAUUACUGGGCGUAAAGCGCGCGUAGGUGGUUUGUUAAGUUGGAUGUGAAAGCCCCGGGCUCAACCUGGGAACUGCAUUCAAAACUGACAAGCUAGAGUAUGGUAGAGGGUGGUGGAAUUUCCUGUGUAGCGGUGAAAUGCGUAGAUAUCUGAAGGAACAUCAGUGGCGAAAGCGACUUCCUGGACGAAUACUGACGCUCAUGUGCGAAAGCGUGGGGAGCAAACAGG
rnacentral:rRNA from 1 species